rnacentral:rRNA from 1 species
GACGAACGCUGGCGGCGUGCCUAAUACAUGCAAGUAGAACGCUGAAGGAGGAGCUUGCUUCUCUGGAUGAGUUGCGAACGGGUGAGUAACGCGUAGGUAACCUGCCUGGUAGCGGGGGAUAACUAUUGGAAACGAUAGCUAAUACCGCAUAAGAGUAGAUGUCGCAUGACAUUUGCUUAAAAGGUGCAAUUGCAUCACUACCAGAUGGACCUGCGUUGUAUUAGCUAGUUGGUGAGGUAACGGCUCACCAAGGCAACGAUACAUAGCCGAACUGAGAGGGUGAUCGGCCACACGGGGACUGAGACACGGCCAAGACUCCUACGGGAGGCAGCAGAAGGGAAUCUUCGGCAAUGGACGGAAGUCUGACCGAGCAACGCCGCGUGAGUGAAGAAGGUUUUCGGAUCGUAAAGAUCUGUUGUAAGAGAAGAACGAGUGUGAGAGUGGAAAGUUCACACUGUGACGGUAUCGUACCAGAAAGGGACGGCUAACUACGG